rnacentral:rRNA from 1 species
GACGAACGCUGGCGGCGUGCCUAAUACAUGCAAGUUGAGCGCUGAAGGUUGGUACUUGUACCGACUGGAUGAGCAGCGAACGGGUGAGUAACGCGUGGGGAAUCUGCCUUUGAGCGGGGGACAACAUUUGGAAACGAAUGCUAAUACCGCAUAAAAACUUUAAACACAAGUUUUAAGUUUGAAAGAUGCAAUUGCAUCACUCAAAGAUGAUCCCGCGUUGUAUUAGCUAGUUGGUGAGGUAAAGGCUCACCAAGGCGAUGAUACAUAGCCGACCUGAGAGGGUGAUCGGCCACAUUGGGACUGAGACACGGCCCAAACUCCUACGGGAGGCAGCAGUAGGGAAUCUUCGGCAAUGGACGAAAGUCUGACCGAGCAACGCCGCGUGAGUGAAGAAGGUUGUCGGAUCGUAAAACUCUGUUGGCAGAGAAGAACGUUGGUGAGAGUGGAAAGCUCAUCAAGUGACGGUAACUACCCAGAAAGGGACGGCUAACUACGUG